GCACUGAUGAGGAGUCCCACAAUAGGACGAAACGGCCGUCAACACAGUGC
rfam:Schistosoma rodhaini strain Burundi genome assembly, scaffold: SROB_scaffold0017971